UACGGGGGGGGCAAGCGUUGUUCGGAAUUACUGGGCGUAAAGGGCUCGUAGGCGGCCAACUAAGUCAGACGUGAAAUCCCUCGGCUUAACCGGGGAACUGCGUCUGAUACUGGAUGGCUUGAAUCCAGGAGAGGGAUGCGGAAUUCCAGGUGUAGCGGUGAAAUGCGUAGAUAUCUGGAGGAACACCGGUGGCGAAGGCGGCAUCCUGGACCGGCAUUGACGCUGAGGAGCGAAAAGCCAGGGGAGCAAAGCGGGG
rnacentral:rRNA from 1 species